rnacentral:rRNA from 1 species
UAGGGAAUCUUCCACAAUGGACGCAAGUCUGAUGGAGCAACGCCGCGUGAGUGAAGAAGGGUUUCGGCUCGUAAAGCUCUGUUGUUAAAGAAGAACGUGGGUAAGAGUAACUGUUUACCCAGUGACGGUAUUUAACCAGAAAGCCACGGCUAACUACGUGCCUG